AACGAACGCUGGCGGCAUGCCUAACACAUGCAAGACGAACGAGAUCUUCGGGUCUAGUGGCGCACGGGUGCGUAACGCGUGGGAAUCUGCCCUUUGGUUCGUAAUAACAGUUGGAAACGACUGCUAAUACCGGAUGAUGACGAAAGUCCAAAGAUUUAUCGCCAGAGGAUGAGCCCGCGUAGGAUUAGCUAGUUGGUGUGGUAAAGGCGCACCAAGGCGACGAUCCUUAGCUGGUCAAAGAGGAUGAUCAGCCACACUGGGACUGAGACACGGCCCAGACUCCUACGGGAGGCAGCAGUGGGGAAUAUUGGACAAUGGGCGAAAGCCUGAUCCAGCAAUGCCGCGUGAGUGAUGGAGGCCUUAGGGUUGUACAGCUCUUUUACCCGGGAUGAUAAUGACAGUACCGGGAGAAUAAGCUCCGGCUAACUCCGUGCCAGCCGCCGCAGUAA
rnacentral:rRNA from 1 species